GACGAACGCUGGCGGCGUGCUUAACACAUGCAAGUCGAACGCUGAAGCUUGGUGCUGGCGCUGAGUGGCUGACUGGCGAACGAGUGGUUAAUAAGUGGGUAACCUGCCCUUGACAAUGGGAUAAGCUUGGGGAACAUAGUCUAAUACUGGAUAUUACCGCUCAGCGCAUGGUGGUGUGGGGAUAGGGCUUGGGUGGUUUUGGAUGGGCUCACGGCCUAUCAGCUUGUUGGGGGGGUACUGGCUCACCAAGGGGACGACGGGUAGCCGGCCUGAGAGGGUGACCGGCCACACUGGGACUGAGACACGGCCCAGACUCCUACGGGAGGCAGCAGUGGGGAAUAUUGCACAAUGGGCGGAAGCCUGAUGCAGCGACGCCGCGUGGGGGAUGACGGCCUUCGGGUUGUAAACCUCUUUCAGCAGGGACGAAGCGAAAGUGACGGUACGUGCAGAAGAAGCGCCGGCUAACUACGUG
rnacentral:rRNA from 1 species